rnacentral:lncRNA from 1 species
AACGUCCCCAUUGUCCCCAUUGACCCCAAUGCCUCCAAUGUCCCCAUUGCCCCCAAUGUCCCCAACGUCCCCAUUGACCCCAUUGCCCCCAAUGUCCCCAUUGUCCCCGUUACCCCCAUUGCCCCCAAUGUCCCCAUUGUCCCCAUUACCCCCAUUGACUCCAUUACCCCCAAUGUCCCCAAUUUCCCCNNNNNNNNNNNNNNNNNNNNNNNNNNNNNNNNNNNNNNNNNNNNNNNNNNAUUGUCCCUAUUGUUUCCAUUGACCCCAAUAUCCCCAUUGUCCCCAUUGACCCCAGUGUCCCCAUUGCCCCCAUUGCCCCCGUUGUCCCCACUGCCCCCCUGAUGUCCCCAUUGUCCCCAGGUCUCCUGUUUCCGGGAGGAGCGGGACGUCUUGGUGCGCGGUGACCGCCGAUGGAUCACACGGCUGCACUUCGCCUUCCAGGACCCGCAGUGCCUGGUGGGGGAACGGCCCCGGUGUCCCCAGUGUCCCCUUUGUCACCGAUGUCCCCAUAUAGCCCCAUUGUCCCCAUAUGGCCCCAUUGUCCCAAUGUCCCCAUUGUCCCCAUAUAUCCCCAUAUGGCCCCAUAUGGCCCCAUAUGUCCCCGUUGUCCCCAUAUGGCCCCAUUGUCCCCAAUGUCCCCAUAUGUCCCCAUAUGUCCCCAUUUGUCCCCAUUGUCCCCAUUGUCCCCAUUGUCCGCAAUGUCCCUGUUGUCCCCAUAUGGCCCUAUUGUCCCCAUAUGGCCUCAUUGUCCCAAUGUCCCCAUAUGUCCCCAUUGUCCCAUAUAUCCCCAUAUGUCCCUAUUGUCACCAUAUGGCCCCAUUUGUCCCCAAUGUCCCCAAUGUCCCCAUACGUCCCCAUUGUCACAAUGUCCCCAUAUAUCCCCAUUGUCCCCAUAUGACCCCAUAUGUCCCCAUUUGUCCCCAGUGUCCUCAUUGUCCACAGUGUCCCUGUUGUCCCCAUAUGGCCCCAUUGUCCCAAUGUCCCCAUUGUCCCCAUAUAUCCCCAUAUGGCCCCAUUGUCCCCAUAUGUCCCGAUAUGUCCCUAUUGUCCCCAUAUGGCCCCGUUGUCCCCAAUGUCCCCAAUGUCCCCAUACGUCCCCAUAUAUCCCCAUAUGGCCCCAUUUGUCCCCAUUGUCCCCAUAUGGCCUCAUUGUCCCCAUAUGUCCCUAUUGUCCCCAUAUGGCCCCGUUUGUCCCCAUAUGGCCCCAUUGUCCCCAUUGUCCCCAAUGUCCCCAUUGUCCCCAACGUCCCCAUUGCCCCCAUUGUCCCCAUUACCUCCACUGUCCCCAAUGUCCCCAUUGUCCCCAAUGUCCCCAAUGUCCCCAAUAUCACCAUUGUCCCCAUACCCCUCUAUUCCCC